rnacentral:rRNA from 1 species
GAAUCUAGCUCUAGGUCUGGGACAACCAUUGGAAACGAUGGCUAAUACUGGAUGUGCCGAGAGGUAAAAGGCUUGCUGCCUAGAGAUGAGCUUGCGUCAGAUUAGCUAGUAGGUGUGGUAAGAGCGCACCUAGGCGACGAUCUGUAGCUGGUCUGAGAGGACGAUCAGCCACACUGGAACUGAGACACGGUCCAGACUCCUACGGGAGGCAGCAGUGGGGAAUUUUCCGCAAUGGGCGAAAGCCUGACGGAGCAAUACCGCGUGAGGGAGGAAGGCUCUUGGGUUGUAAACCUCUUUUCUCAAGGAAGAUAAUGACGGUACUUGAGGAAUAAGCAUCGGCUAACUCCGUGCCAGCAGCCGCGGUAAUACGGAGGAUGCAAGCGUUAUCCGGAAUGAUUGGGCGUAAAGCGUCCGCAGGUGGUUUUGAAAGUCUGUUGUUAAAGCGUGAGGCUUAACCUCAUAAGGGCAAUGGAAACUACGAGACUAGAGUACGUUCGGGGCAAGGGGAAUUCCCAGUGUAGCGGUGAAAUGCGUAGAGAUUGGGAAGAACACCGGUGGCGAAAGCGCCUUGCUAGGCCGUAACUGACACUGAGGGACGAAAGCUAGGGGAGCG